rnacentral:rRNA from 1 species
AGCGAACGCUGGCGGCAGGCUUAACACAUGCAAGUCGAGCGGGCAUAUUCGGAUGUCCGCGGCAGACGGGUGAGUAACCCCUGGGAACGUACCCUUCGGUUCGGAACAACUCUGGGAAACUGGAGCUAAUACCGGAUACGCCCUUAUGGGGAAAGGUUUACUGCCGAAGGAUCGGCCCGCGUCUGAUUAGCUAGUUGGUGGGGUAACGGCCUACCAAGGCGACGAUCAGUAGCUGGUCUGAGAGGAUGAUCAGCCACACUGGGGCUGAGCCACGGCCCAGACUCCUACGGGAAGCAGCAGUGGGUAAUAGUGGACAAUGGGCGCAAGCCUGAUCCAGCCAUGCCGCGUGAGUGAUGAAAGCCUUAGGGUUGUAAAGCGCUUUUGUCCGGGACGAUAAUGACGGUACCGGAAGAAUAAGCCCCGGCUAACUUCGUG